AUUCUCGCGAGAACAAAGACGCGCGAGCAUCGGCGGCCCGGAACCGGCCUUGGAACAACUGUGGAGCCUGAGGCCGCUUGCCCUCCCGCCCCAUGGAGCGGCCCCCGGGGCUGCGGCCGGGCGCGGGCGGGCCCUGGGAGAUGCGGGAGCGGCUGGGCACCGGCGGCUUCGGGAACGUCUGUCUGUACCAGCAUCGGGAACUUGAUCUCAAAAUAGCAAUUAAGUCUUGUCGCCUAGAGCUAAGUACCAAAAACAGAGAACGAUGGUGCCAUGAAAUCCAGAUUAUGAAGAAGUUGAAUCAUGCCAAUGUUGUAAAGGCCUGUGAUGUUCCUGAAGAAUUGAAUAUUUUGAUUCAUGAUGUGCCUCUUCUAGCAAUGGAAUACUGUUCUGGAGGAGAUCUCCGAAAGCUGCUCAACAAACCAGAAAAUUGUUGUGGACUUAAAGAAAGCCAGAUACUUUCUUUACUAAGUGAUAUAGGGUCUGGGAUUCGAUAUUUGCAUGAAAACAAAAUUAUACAUCGAGAUCUAAAACCUGAAAACAUAGUUCUUCAGGAUGUUGGUGGAAAGAUAAUACAUAAAAUAAUUGAUCUGGGAUAUGCCAAAGAUGUUGAUCAAGGAAGUCUGUGUACAUCUUUUGUGGGAACACUGCAGUAUCUGGCCCCAGAGCUCUUUGAGAAUAAGCCUUACACAGCCACUGUUGAUUAUUGGAGCUUUGGGACCAUGGUAUUUGAAUGUAUUGCUGGAUAUAGGCCUUUUUUGCAUCAUCUGCAGCCAUUUACCUGGCAUGAGAAGAUUAAGAAGAAGGAUCCAAAGUGUAUAUUUGCAUGUGAAGAGAUGUCAGGAGAAGUUCGGUUUAGUAGCCAUUUACCUCAACCAAAUAGCCUUUGUAGUUUAAUAGUAGAACCCAUGGAAAACUGGCUACAGUUGAUGUUGAAUUGGGACCCUCAGCAGAGAGGAGGACCUGUUGACUUUACUUUGAAGCAGCCAAGAUGUUUCGUAUUAAUGGAUCACAUUUUGAAUUUGAAGAUAGUACACAUCCUAAAUAUGACUUCUGCAAAGAUAAUUUCUUUUCUGUUACCACCUGAUGAAAGUCUUCAUUCACUACAGUCUCGUAUUGAGCGUGAAACUGGAAUAAAUACUGGUUCUCAAGAACUUCUUUCAGAGACAGGAAUUUCUCUGGAUCCUCGGAAACCAGCCUCUCAAUGUGUUCUAGAUGGAGUUAGAGGCUGUGAUAGCUAUAUGGUUUAUUUGUUUGAUAAAAGUAAAACUGUAUAUGAAGGGCCAUUUGCUUCCAGAAGCUUAUCUGAUUGUGUAAAUUAUAUUGUACAGGACAGCAAAAUACAGCUUCCAAUUAUACAGCUGCGUAAAGUGUGGGCUGAAGCAGUGCACUAUGUGUCUGGACUAAAAGAAGACUAUAGCAGGCUCUUUCAGGGACAAAGGGCAGCAAUGUUAAGUCUUCUUAGAUAUAAUGCUAACUUAACAAAAAUGAAGAACACUUUGAUCUCAGCAUCACAACAACUGAAAGCUAAAUUGGAGUUUUUUCACAAAAGCAUUCAGCUUGACUUGGAGAGAUACAGCGAGCAGAUGACGUAUGGGAUAUCUUCAGAAAAAAUGCUAAAAGCAUGGAAAGAAAUGGAAGAAAAGGCCAUCCACUAUGCUGAGGUUGGUGUCAUUGGAUAUCUGGAGGAUCAGAUUAUGUCUUUGCAUGCUGAAAUCAUGGAGCUACAGAAGAGCCCCUAUGGAAGACGUCAGGGAGACUUGAUGGAAUCUCUGGAACAGCGUGCCAUUGAUCUAUAUAAGCAGUUAAAACACAGACCUUCAGAUCACUCCUACAGUGACAGCACAGAGAUGGUGAAAAUCAUUGUGCACACUGUGCAGAGUCAGGACCGUGUGCUCAAGGAGCUGUUUGGUCAUUUGAGCAAGUUGUUGGGCUGUAAGCAGAAGAUUAUUGAUCUACUCCCUAAGGUGGAAGUGGCCCUCAGUAAUAUCAAAGAAGCUGACAAUACUGUCAUGUUCAUGCAGGGAAAAAGGCAGAAAGAAAUAUGGCAUCUCCUUAAAAUUGCCUGUACACAGAGUUCUGCCCGGUCCCUUGUAGGAUCCAGUCUAGAAGGUGCAGUAACCCCUCAGACAUCAGCAUGGCUGCCCCCGACUUCAGCAGAACAUGAUCAUUCUCUGUCAUGUGUGGUAACUCCUCAAGAUGGCUUAAGAUGUGCCGUAUCCAAAGCCAGUGGCUCUUUGCUAGCUUGUGUAUUGUCGCUUUUCUCACAACUCAUGGAGACCUCUACAGCACCAGCAUUUCCUGGAAGCUCUGCCCAUAAUUAGUUUUGCAGAAGUGCAGCCAUGUUACAUCACUGCUCAGGAGGUCAUGCAGUUGCACAUUCUGUACUCUACUUUUAUGAGAGAAAAGCACAUGGCAGGAAGGCAAGCUGAUAUCAGAGAGACUUCAGCACAAAUGAUAGAAGAAAAUUUGAACUGCCUUGGCCAUUUAAGCACUAUUAUUCAUGAGGCAAAUGAGGAACAGGGCAGUAGUAUGAUGAAUCUUGAUUGGAGUUGGUUAACAGAAUGAGUUGUCACUUGUUCACUGUUCCCAAACCUAUGGAAGUUGUUGCUAUACAUGUUGGAAAUGUGUUUUUCCCCCAUGAAACCAUUCUUCAGACAUCAGUCAAUGGAAGAAAUGGCUAUGAACAGAAACUACAUUUCUACUACGAUCAGAAGAACAUGAUUUUACAAGUAUAACAGUUUUGAGUAAUUCAAGCCUCUAAACAGACAGGAAUUUAGAAAAAGUCAAUGUACUUGUUUGAAUAUUUGUUUUAAUACCACAGCUAUUUAGAAGCAUCAUCAUGACACAUUUGCCUUCAGUCUUGGUAAAACAUUACUUAUUUAACUGAUUAAAAAUACCUUCUAUGUAUUAGUGUCAACUUUUAACUUUUGGGCGUAAGACCAAAUGUAGUUUUGUAUACAGAGAAGAAAACCUCAAGUAAUAGGCAUUUUAAGUAAAGGUCUACCUGUGUUUUUUUCUAAAAAGGCUGCUCACAAGUUCUAUUUCUUGAAGAAUAAAUUCUACCUCCUUGUGUUGCACUGAACAGGUGCUCUUCCUGGCAUCAUAAGGAGUUGGUGUAAUCAUUUUAAAUUCCACUGAAAAUUUAACAGUAUCCCCUUCUCACCGAAGGGAUUGUGUAUCUGUGCUUCUAAUAUUAGCUGGCUUUCAUAAAUCAUGUUGUUGUGUGUAUAUGUAUUUAAGAUGUACAUUUAAUAAUAUCAAAGAGAAGAUGCCUGUUAAUUUAUAAUGUAUUUGAAAAUUACAUGUUUUUUCAUUUGUAAAAAUGAGUCAUUUGUUUAAACAAUCUUUCGUGUCUUGUCACACAAAUUUAUAAAGGUCUGCACUCCUUUAUCUGUAAUUGUAAUUCCAAAAUCCAAAAAGCUCUGAAAACAAGGUUUCCAUAAGCUUGGUGACAAAAUUCAUUUGCUUGCAAUCUAAUCUGAACUGACCUUGAAUCUUUUUAUCCCAUUUAGUGUGAAUAUUCCUUUAUUUUGCUGCUUGAUGAUGAGAGGGAGGGCUGCUGCCACAGACUCUGGUGAGGGCUGGUUAAUGUAGUAUGGUAUAUGCACAAAAUUACUUUUCUAAAAUCUAAAAUUUCAUAAUUCUGAAACAUCUUGCCCCAAGCGUUUCAGAUAAAGGACUGUGGACCUCUAUCAUCUGUUAAGUAAUUUAGAAGAUAUUAUUUGUCUUAAAAAAUGUGAAAUGCUUUUAUAUUCUAAUAGUUUUUCACUUUGUGUAUUAAAUGGUUUUUAAAUUA